rnacentral:lncRNA from 1 species
GUUCCCCUCCAACUCCCACCCACCACUGGCUGAACGUUGCUCCUAACUGUUCGGCACUUUUAGCCUGUCCCCUGUGUAUGGGGCACUAUUGACAUUUUCAACUGGAUGAUUCUUUGUGAAGGCAGCUGCCCUGGGCACUGUGGGAUGUUUAGCAGCAUUCUUGGCCUCUACCCACUAGAUACCAGGAGCAGCUCCCCCACCCCAGCUAUGCUGACUGAAGAUGUCUAAAGACAUUGCCAAAUGUCUCUGAGAUGGGGAGCAAAAUCACCCCCUAUUGAGAACCAAUGAAUCAUGGUGACCAACCAUACGAGUUUGCCCAGGACUCUCUGGUUUUAGCACUACAAGUACCACAUCCUGAGAUACUCCUCAGUCAGUUGCUCACCCGAAAUAUAUUCCCUUUGAGGACUGAGGAGAGCUCAUGUGCCACUGAAUAGCCCUAAGUUUUUCCAGACACCCAAGUCCAGACCUGGACUGUGUAGGGGACCAUGGAAUGGGGCAAUGGAUAAGAAGGUCUUUGACACAUCCCACCCAAGGGGCCCACGGAGGUCUGAGCACCCACCCCUCUAGACCCUGAGUUCCAUGAGGAGAGAAGUGUCUCCUUCCCCAGUGAUACCCCAGAGCCCAGCGGAGAACACAUGAAACAUAAUCAAUAAUGGAUCCAAUAAAUGAGAUUCCGCAGUGUCCUGCCAAGUGCACUCUGUCUUACGUGCCCUGGCAUCUGGGAACCUUUCAGAACCAGCCCUCUGUGCUUUAGGCCGGUUCUGCCUCUGAGCCAUGUGGACCCUCUCGCCUCAAGGAGUGACUCCUCCAUCCACCCUGCAGUCCAAAGGAAGACGAGAAGUGCAGAAAGCAACAGCCCAGCCUUGUCUCAGCAUUUUGAACCUUAGGACUUUUCCCUUGGCUUAGCCAGGGGGGCCCUGACCUGAUCAGCAGGUGACCUUGAACUGGAGACCUCUUUGAAGCCUAUUUUCUGUAGAGGGAAAGAGAAAGAGAGGGCAAGGGAGACUUGUAUGAAUUGAUCAAACAUGAAUUGAAAAAUAACUUCAGAGGACCUGAAGCCCAGGACUCAAGGAGGUGGGACAAGGGAAC